UGUUUUCUCUCCAACGUUGAAGGACCACUUCUGAGCUACCCGGCAACAUUCCUCCGCUGCAGGCUUCCUCUGGCUUCCUGGCUGGUGUCUGGUUUAUAUCACCAUGUUUUCCUAAACAUGGAAUGCAUGCUGUGCUUGGAUAUAAAAUCUUCUUUUGAUGGUAUUUCAAACUUUAUUCUUCCCAGUGGUCUACGACAUCGUAAGCCCCGGGAGCUGAAUGGUAGGAUUGCGGGGGGCGUGGGGAGGCUGAGCCCUCUGGAAGCAGAAUUCUGUGAAACAGAUUCUGAGGGAUGCACGCCGGGCAGACACGUUCAGUUUCAAUGACUGGAAAAAGUGAUGUAAAAGGAAUAACAAGCACUAGCCCUGGCUUCCGGAACCUCCCAGGCAUACGUUUUCUACAGUGUUCCUGUCUUAUGUGAUACGGUUCUGUUCUGUGUCCCCACCCAGAUCUCAUCUUGAAUUAUAAUCCCCACGUGUGAGGGAGGGACUUGGUAGAGGGUGACUGAAUCAUGGGGGCAGUUCCCCUGUGCUGUUCUUAUGAUAGUGAGUGAGUUCUCACAAGAGCUGAGAGCUGAUGGUUUAAAGGUAUGUGGCAGUCUCCCUCGCUCCUUCUCUCUUCUACCUGCUACCUUGAAGAAGAAGGUGCUUGCUUCUCUUUCACCUUCUGCCAUGAUUAUAAGUUUCCGGAGGCCUCCCCAGCCAUGAAGAACUGUGGGUCAAUCCCAUUCUCAGGUAAUUCUUGAUAUCAGUGUGAAAACCGAAUAAUACAUUAUGGAUCUUAUCCUUAAUAAAGUUAUUUUUUUCAUGUUUCUUGAGAAGGAG
rnacentral:lncRNA from 13 species